rnacentral:misc_RNA from 1 species
AACUUUCAGAAACGGAUCAUUUGGCUCUCGCAUCGAUGAAGAACGCAGCGAAAUGCGAUAAGUAUUGUGAAUUGCAGAAUUCAGUGAAUCAUCGAAUCUUUGAACGCAUCUUACGCUUCUUGGUAUUCCAAGGAGCAUGCCUGUUUGAGUGUCACUAAAGUUCUCAAAACCCACAUGGUGGAAUUUUGGAUAUGGGGGUUGCAGGCUUUUUGAAGUCGGCUCCUCUGAAAUGUAUCAGUGGUAUCUGUGUGGAACUACAGGUGUGAUAAAUGAAAUCUAUGCCUCGUCUCUCACUGUGCUGCUUCUGGCGGAGUUGGAUUGACAGAUUUGACCUCAAAUCAGGUAGGACUACCCGCUGAACUUAAGCAUAUCAAUAAGCGGAGGCU